AAUGGGCGAAAGCCUGACGGAGCAAUACCGCGUGAGGGAAGAAGGCUCUUGGGUUGUAAACCUCUUUUCUCAGGGAAUAAAAAAAUGAAGGUACCUGAGGAAUAAGCAUCGGCUAACUCCGUGCCAGCAGCCGCGGUAAUACGGAGGAUGCAAGCGUUAUCCGGAAUGAUUGGGCGUAAAGCGUCCGCAGGUGGUACAACAAGUCUAGUGUCAAAGACCGGGGCUCAACCCCGGAAAGGCGGUGGAAACUGUUGAACUAGAGGGUCGUAGGGGUAGAGGGAAUUCCCAGUGUAGCGGUGAAAUGCGUAGAGAUUGGGAAGAACAUCGGUGGCGAAGGCGCUCUACUGGACGGCAACUGACACUCAGGGACGAAAGCUAGGGGAGCGAAUGGGAUUAGAUACCCC
rnacentral:rRNA from 1 species